CAUGGGCGAGUGGGGUCCCUCGGCCCGGCCUGCGCCCUCUCGCAAUCCAGGACCCCUCAGGGGAUGUCGGAGAGCCAGUUUCGGCCCGAUCCCACAGGCCAGGCUGAGGGACCCCACUGGUGCAUG
rnacentral:pre_miRNA from 1 species